rnacentral:tRNA from 1 species
CCUUCGAUAGCUCAGUUGGUAGAGCGGAGGACUGUAGGGGAUCUGUAAACAGUCAUCCUUAGGUCGCUGGUUCGAGUCCGGCUCGGAGGA